ensembl:lncRNA
ACACAUAUGGGAUUACCCGUAGGGAAACAAGCCAUAUGGACACCUAGCCCAGUACAGGGGCUGACCAGGACUCCGGGCAUGCUAACACCAGUACUGGGCCUGGCGACAGACUGCUCCGCCAAGUCUGACCGCCAAGGGUGCUGGAGGAUGCUCGACCAGGGUACGCCAACCAGGGAACUCUACUGGGAGAAAAAAGGCGCUCGCAUCCCUGUGUGAGGGGGAAUGGUGCAGCAAGCGUGACACUGAGCCAGUUCUUCCCACCAAUUACCUGUUACCCAACACACGGGAAGAAACUGGCUCUACACGAAGGUUGUAAAACCUUGCGAAGGUGUUAGGUGUCUGCCAGAGAGGCACCGUGCGCCAACGCAUAGGAGGAGGCAACACUCCAUGUGGAGUGAGCCCUCACCCCCAGGGGGCACGGCUCACCUUGGGAAUGGUACGCCAAGGCGAUGGCAUCCACUAUCCAGUGGGCCAACCUCUGCUUGGAGACAGCCUUCCCUUUCUGCUGACCCCCAAAGCAGACCAGGAGCUGCUCAGAGCUUCUGAAGCUCCGGGUGCGGUCCACGUAUAUACGAAUUGCUCUUACGGGACAUUUCAACGCCAAGGCUGGAUCUGCCUACUCCUGUGGCAGUGCUUGCAGGCUCACCACCUGGUCUCGGAAGAGAGUGGUGGGAACCUUGGGCACGUAUCCAGGCCGGGGUCUCAGGACAACGUGAGAGUAGGCCGGUCCGAACACAAGGCACUCUUCACUUACCGAAAAUGCUUGGAGGUCCCCGACCCUCUUGAUGGAAGUGAGUGUGAUCAGGAUAGCUGUCUUGAGAGACAGGAACUUCAGCUCAACCGAAUCAAGUGGCUCAAAGGGACCCCUCUGAAGUCCAGCCAGGGCAAUAGAGAGGUCCCAGGAGGGCAUCGGGGUGUCCUAGGAGGAUUUAACCUUCUGGCACCCCUCAGGAGUGAUCAAGUCAUGCCUCCCCAGGGAAUGGCCGUCUACUGCAUCGUGAUGGGCUGCAAUGGCAGCCACAUACACUUUCAAGGUGGAGGGUGACAGCCUACGCUUCAGCCUUUCUUGCAGAGCAUGACUCUGACCAAGCAUCUCCGGGGGUCUUCUCGGUGAGAAGAACACCAAUUUGUGAGCAGACUCCACUUCAAAGCAUAGUCCUGCCUGAGUGAUAGUGUCUACCACCGCUGGUGGCAGAUCACUUAGGUCUGCCACGUCCCGUCCAGAAGCCACACAUGGAGGUCCCUCCUCAGGGGGAUGCACCAGGGAGGGGCUGUCACAAGGAGCAUGAGUUCCGAAAACCAGGUCCGGGUAGGCCAGUUAGGUGCAACCAAAAGGACCUGUUCCUCGUCCUACCUGACCUUGCACAGUGUCUUUGGGAAGUGGGCAUCAGGAUCCUCAACUAUCUUGAUGACUGGCUCCAUCGAGUGACGAGUAUCCCUUGACGGGCACACGAUAAGAAAAGGGUUUGUCCCAUGACCGCUUCAUCUCUGCCACACACGCCGGUAAAGCGGGAAGCAGUUGUUUCACCUGUGGAAGGCAAGAAGGAAGCCUUUUCCCAUCGUAGAUGUCACGUUUAACUUCCGGAUCCCCAGGAGUUACGGGCCAAGCGAUGCCAAGCUUAACUGCCGCAUGCUUACAAACUUCCACUAGGUCACAAUCUACCACCGUCGACGCCACAUCACCGAUUUGCA